UACAGCCACAUCAUGUUGAAACACCAGUUUUUGUACAAUCACCAAAGUUAAGCAAUGUCAAGCCUGGCCAGUAUGUAGAUGGGUGACCACUUAGGAAUACCAGGUGCUGUAGG